UGGCUCCGCGCGCCUCACAGCAGGCGGGCAGGGGGAGGGGGCUUCCCCAGUCCGGCCUGGGGGCGGACCAUCAGGAAACGACGCAUCGGGGGGGAGCAGAAGCUCACAGAAGUUUUGAAAAGUUUUUUCUUGUGGCUUCCGAACGCCAAGUCAGAUGCCUCUGCCCUGCCUCAGCAACCAAGGAUACUACCUGCUUCGAUGACACAGCUCCUAGAUGGUGACGCCACCUGCAACCCCCUGGAUCCCUGAGGAACUCUGUGGAUCAGAACUCUUCCUCCCUAACUUCAGCCUGAACUGGACAUGUAAUAUGGGCAAGAAAUAGAUCAAGAAAUAGACACUUAUUACAGCAAGCCACCCAGAUCUCCUAUUCUCCUGGUAGAAACUGGUUAGUGGUCAUCAAACCUGAUGAUUAUUCUUCCUGAGCACACUACAUUUCCCAGCUUUCUUUUCAAUCAGGGGUGGCCUAGUGACUACGUUCCAGCCAACGGAAGGACUGCAAAGGCCAUGCAUGCUACUUUCCAGGCCUGGCUCACAAGAGCAUUGGCGACCCUCCAUGGUCUUUUCCUUUUCACAGCCUGGAACCAGAUGAGCAUGGAGACCUGAGAAGCCAUUUAUUAAAGAUGGCAGAGCCACAGAUAGAAAGAACCUCAGUCCCUGAAUCCAUCCUUAGAGGGGAGCCACCCAUCACUCAAGAACACCAAUUUUGGACUUGAAUGUGAAAUAAAUUUCUAUUUAAACCAUUA